UAUUAGGUUGGUGCAAAAGUAAUCGCGGUUUUUGCCAUUACUUUCAAUAGCAAAAACCGUGAUUACUUUUGCACCAACCUAAUAU
ensembl:miRNA